AGUGAACGCUGGCGGUAGGCCUAACACAUGCAAGUCGAACGGCAGCACAGUAAGAGCUUGCUCUUACGGGUGGCGAGUGGCGGACGGGUGAGGAAUACAUCGGAAUCUACUUUUUCGUGGGGGAUAACGUAGGGAAACUUACGCUAAUACAGCAUACGACCUACGGGUGAAAGCAGGGGAUCUUCGGACCUUGCGCGAUUGAAUGAGCCGAUGUCGGAUUAGCUAGUUGGCGGGGUAAAGGCCCACCAAGGCGCCGAUCCGUAGCUGGUCUGAGAGGAUGAUCAGCCACACUGGAGCUGAGACACGGUCCAGACUCCGACGGGAGGCAGCAGUGGGGAAUGUUGGACAAUGGGCGCAAGCCUGAUCCAGCCAUACCGCGUGGGUGAAGAAGGCCUUCGGGUUGUAAAGCCCUUUUGUUGGGAAAGAAAAGCAGCAGGUUAAUACCCCGCUGUUCGGACGGUACCCAAAGAAUAAGCACCGGCUAACUUCGU
rnacentral:rRNA from 1 species